CAGUCGCCGCGGUAAUACGAAGGGUGCAAGCGUUACUCGGAAUUACUGGGCGUAAAGCGUGCGUAGGUGGUGGUUUAAGUCCGUUGUGAAAGCCCUGGGCUCAACCUGGGAAUUGCAGUGGAUACUGGGUCACUAGAGUGUGGUAGAGGAUAGUGGAAUUUCCGGUGUAGCAGUGAAAUGCGUAGAGAUCGGAAGGAACAUCUGUGGCGAAGGCGACUAUCUGGGCCAACACUGACACUGAGGCACGAAAGCGUGGGGAGCAAACAGGAUUAGAGACCCAUGUAGUCCCUGUCUCUUAUAC
rnacentral:rRNA from 1 species